CCUGUCCUUGCUGUUGUGAUUAUAGUCUUGGUUUACCUGUGGUGAUAACUGGGUAUUGGGGACAAAUGUCAAAUGUCCCUCUGAGGCGGGCCCUACAUUCCAGGAAUUGCAGAUGGAACAGGCUGCUCCAUCCCCUUAGGAUCUGACUGCGUGCUGUAGGCUCUGCUGGAGAGCCAGCAUCUGGUGGUAACUAGUGUGAGUAAUGUCCGCUUGCCUUUGUCUAAGCAGCCCCAGCCUGAUAAGAAGUUGCCCAUUGUUCAGAGGCCGACAAGAGCCUGGAAGUGGCCUGCGUGCCUGACACCAGAGGGUGGAGACGGGCCCACGCGUCUGGUUUCUCCCUGAAGCAGGUGACCUGCCUCUGUCCUGACCUGUGUAACAAACUGGUGUGCUGUGGUCCCGCUGCUUGGAGCCACGGCGGAUAAAGCUCACAGGCGGUGUGCAGCGCGUUGUCCAGGGAGCGUGAAGCGAUCAGGGUGGUACGUUCCUCUGUUGUGUCUUCAAAUCUUGCUGAGGGCUGUUUUGUUUCUUGUUGUUUUGUUGGGUUUUUUUAAAUAAAUGACUCCUUUCUAGCCCUUGUUACCUCAUCUUCACUUUUGGUUGUUGGUACCAAACAGAGCUCCUGUCACCUCGCUCCUGCUCUGCCUGUCCAGAGGAUGGUGGGAAGACCGUCUGUCUGCAGCCAGGGCAGCGGCAGCUCUGGUUCCGUCCUGUGGACAUCAGGGACCUGAAGCUUCUGUUGUCCACAGAACUCCAGACAGCCUCUGCAUUGGGCACAAACCAAAAGCACACUCAUGUACCCACUGCUCAUCAGCUGUCUAGCUUUCUUAGCCCUCGAGAUGCUGAUGGCUAAUUAGGGGAUGGGGCGGGGGGUUGGAAUCUUCCAAAAUGACUCCAGUUAAGGGCAAGUGCCAGUAAUGGUUAGAAAUGUUAUCCUGGCAGUUGGUCAGUUUAAUUUUCCUAGCUUUCUUUUCAUAAAAAAUCUAAAUUCCAGACAGAUGGAAUGUAAUUUUUUGUCAUCCUCACUUCUGUGUAAGGUUAAGGGGGAAAAAUACCCACACGAGACUCCUGAAUGUAAUUUCAAUUCCAGUUGCGAGUCUUCAAAGCCCUUAAAACUUUGGCAAAGGAACUGCAAAUACCCCUUUUGGUUUAAAUUAACCACAGCAGGCACACUGGAAUUUCCCAGGCUCCAGGAGUGUGGUGCCCUCUUGACGGUGGAGGAGAGAGGAUUGCAGCCAAGGCACAGUGCUUUCAAUUUCUCCUUACAGUCUCCCCACCUCUCCCCGCUGCUCAUGUACUGAUGUCCUCAUCUUGUUUUUUCUGGUUUCUCAGAUACUCCGAGUUUUGGGUUUUUCUAAGAAGGCUUUUGCAUUAGGCAAGGCAUGUUUACAAAUUUCCAGCACAAUCCGCUUCCUUCCUCGCUGGUCUGAGGUUCUUCCUCCCGAGAGACUGCAUGUUGGAACUGUCACUUAUUCAUAGUAACUUUCUUCUAAGUGAGCAAAUGAAGGUAUGAAUGAAGUUUAUCCAAAGCCUAGCAUGUUCCAUUACUGUUAUAGCUUAUGCCUUUUCUGAAUAAGACACAGCUCCCUAUGUAGGAACAGUUCAAACAGGAACUGGAGAGACUUUGCGGGGGGGCCAGGGUAGCUGGUGUCUGAGUUACCUUUGUAGCAUGCCAGCACAGGCCUUGUUUAACAGGUAAGUUAUGUCACCCACAAGAAAAACGAAAGGACUAGUUCUCUGUAAGGGUGGAGGGAAGGGAGUUCUGUUUUGCCAAUAAAGUGUUAAAAAUAGACUCUGCCACGUGUGCAUAGCAGCUCUCACAUUACUGCUAACCAGAUCCAGUGUUGUACAUAAACGUUUGUGUUUUGUACAGCCAAACAUUUACAUCAGAGCCUCGGAAUGUGGCAGUUUUGUAUAUACAUGAAGUGCGCUCAUCGAGAAUGUCAGCUGUGCAGCUCUCCAUAGAAGCCGGCCAGACAGGACAGGCUCGGGAGGGAACCAGCCCGUUCUACAUCUGGUCUUCCAGUGCAUACUGGCCUGACAGAACCUCUGCCCUUCAUGAAGUCACAUUUCUUCGGCAUUUUCUAACAGUGAAAUCACUUCAAGAACAAUGGCUCCUAACACAGGUAUCAGCCUUGUUACAGGAGUUUGUACUGAAGUGCUGCAAAUCUAGUAAUAAACUUGGGCCUCUUCCCUCUUCUGGGAGGGAUAAGCCAGGUAUAUAGUGGCACAUCCUGUGGCAGCUGUGCCCAACUGUGCGGGCUUCCUGGAGAGGACAGAAACCUGUUUCAAAAGGAGGUGAGGACUUGCUGGUACAGGAAGGAGCCACCCUGGCCUCUAAGAUAAUGAAGCAUUCUACAGAUGAGUCACAGUCUUGCCAGCUUGACGGUGUGGAAGUAGUACUGCGCUCCCCCAGGCUGUCAGCAGGUCGGGCCAGAGCUGACGGGGCCACUCCAUGUGGCCAGGAGCCCUGGCCCCACGCAGAAGCUCUGCGAAUAGAGAAACACCCUCACCCCACCUUCCACUGCCUUGGCCCUUUCAGCUGCCCCGGUGCAGUCAGGGCCUGCGCCAUUGGACACUACCUAGUGGUCUCCCUGCUGCCAUCCAACUGUCACCAUGGUCUUCUCUGAGUUGUUUAGCCAAGAGACCCUCCGUUGCUAAUGGGGGCCUGGUGAGUGACGCCCUGGGCUAGGGGGAUGGGAAGAACUGACAGAACCUGCUGCCACAUUGGAUGCAGAGGGUGGGGACUCAAAGAUGAGGCCAUGGCUUUUGACCUGAACAAUUAAUUGGCAAAACUGAGAUAAAAAAUUGAGGAGGAGGAGAGUUCUAUUUUAGCCAGUAGAGCAGCUAAAGCUCAAAAAUUUGUUAUGUCUGAAGCAUAGAAAUGGUGUUUAAAGCCUUGGGGAAUAUACAGGAUGAUCUCAACAGUGAGAGGGAGGAGAAUUGCUCCCCCGAUGCUCUGUGUGUUGAGGCAGCUGUCAGCAUUUAUCCCCCAUACAGCCACGUCUGACCUUGGGUUAGUGACAGCCCCUCUGAGCAUUAGUUGCUUAAUCUGGAAUGGGGGUAAAGGUGCCUUUUUAAAGUAUUAAGUGAGUAUUAGGCACUAUUCAGGCUCACUGAGUUUUCAUGUACUCCCUGCACAAUUUACCAGUCUUCGUGCAGUUAGAAUACAAUUAAAAUCAGCCUUAAACAGAUACAUACAGCUUCAUUAUUCAAAUGAGCACGCUUCUGUAAUAUUUCCAGCGCAUCACUGAAGAAACUAGUUAUCUUUCCACUGCUGAGGGCUGAAGGGAGGGCUGCCACUUGAAUCCUAGUCCAGGCUUCCAAAGUGAGCAGAUUCUGCUCCUGUGGAUAAUGGGAACUUUACCAUAAGCCUAGGCCAGUCCAGGGUCUUGACAUUUUCCUCUACACGCUGAAGGACUUGGCACAAUGCGGGGAUGAUGGGUGAGCCCUUGUACAGGUUUCCCAUGUCUGAGUGUCCUGGGAUGUCAGGGCAGCCCCUCCACUGCCACAGCUCCUCUGGAGAAUGACCCAGCCGGUGUGCCUCGCCCUGGAACCCUUCCUUGGGCCAUUCCUUAAGAGGUCAGCUUAGGCUUAACUGUUGCAGCCCAAUCUGAGCAAAUGCUCACAGCAGAAGCAUGAGGUGUCCCCAGUACAGAAGGGAGAGGGGCCUGCAAGAGGCCCUGAACUUGCUCUUGCCCUAACUCGAUUUUCAUAGGUUCUGCCUAACGGAUCCUUAACAUUUUGGCUGCUCAAGGCCAAGAGUAUCAACCUCUAACCAGAUUCUGCAAACAAACCAAUGUGGACAUUCUAAUUUUCCCGUACUUCUUUCUUUUCUGUUAUAAUGCUCCCUGUGCCCUCUGACGUUCAUGUACUCAGAGCCCUGCUGCUUGUUUGGAGGGAAGAGGCACUAACUGCUGGCCCGUCUGUCUCAGGAGGACCUGUGUUAGUGCUCGAAGACUCAGUGGGGCAAGCCCUCAGCCUAGUUUAUAAUAAACAGCAGUGUCAUUCUAAGCCACAUGGCUCAAGUCAGUCCACAAGACAGGAAAGGGACAGUAGCCACACUAGGUAGAGGAUAAGAGUAGACUCAACAAGGCGUUUGGAAGAGUCCUAUCCUCUGGGACCAAGUGGGGAGAUCAGCGCUGAGGUAUCAUUGACGAAGUGGAUAAAUAACUGGUUGAACAACCCUAUCCCAAAUGAGCAGAGAAAUGGCCUAAUGUAACAGAGAGGGAUGGCCCUGGCCUUUGUCCUCAGCCCUGCCCUGUUCAACUUUUCUCUUGAUAAUUUGAGGACAUAACUGCCAGGCUUAGCAAAUCUGAGAAGGAUAUGACAAGGAGAAAAGAACAUAACCAUCCCCCACCUGUGGCAGAUAAAGAUUGUUACAACAGCCUCUGCCCUGGUCCUCCCAAAUCCAGUGUAUAGUCCACAUUGUGGGCCAAAAUGGUGGUCAGUCAUCUCAGAUUUUUAAUAAACCUCAUGAUAGGAUAUAGGCAGGGCAGAUUUUAUUAUGUAUUUUAUAGACCAGAAAAUAGGAGUUUCAAGCUCAGUUAAUUUGCCCCAGGUCGUCUUCCCGCUCCAGAGCCUCACUGCUCAGGUUAUCAGAAGGUAACCACACCCAGGUUUUGUAAACAUCGUUUCUUUGCUUAAACAAAAGCCAGGGAGUGUCUUUAAACACAGGAGGACUAUGCAAACAGCAUCCUGUUGGAGGUGAGGAACCAACAGCCCUAUUAGAAGGCAGGGAGGAGCUGGAGUUUUGGCUGCCUGGGCCCUGUGCUGACUCAGCUGCUGCCCAGGGGGCCAUGCGGAGACCCUACUCCCAGUAAUGCUGUAGCAAUGUGGACUGCUACUGACUAGAGAGUACUGCCUCACACAAAUCAGGAGUCCCUAGGAAGGAGAGGUCAGGACACAUGCCUCCUAGCAAGCCAGGAGCAAGCAAACGAUCUUUCUGAGGCAUUUGAAGCAACCAGAUUUCAAUGUGAAAAUUAUGAAUCCCCCAUCGCUGGCAUUAAAACAAUGAACCAUGAAAACAGUUGUCAACUGCUGUUCUGGUCUUCAGUAACGGUGAGCUGUAAUUCAAACCAAUCCUCC
rnacentral:lncRNA from 1 species